UACGUAGGGGGCAAGCGUUAUCCGGAUUUACUGGGUGUAAAGGGGGUGCAGACGGCGAUGCAAGCCAGGAGUGAAAGCCCGGGGCCCAACCCCGGGACUGCUCUUGGAACUGCGUGGCUGGAGUGCAGGAGGGGCAGGCGGAAUUCCUGGUGUAGCGGUGAAAUGCGUAGAUAUCAGGAGGAACACCGGUGGCGAAGGCGGCCUGCUGGACUGCAACUGACGUUGAGGCCCGAAAGCGUGGGGAGCAAACAGG
rnacentral:rRNA from 1 species